rnacentral:rRNA from 1 species
AGUGAACGCUGGCGGUAGGCCUAACACAUGCAAGUCGAACGGCAGCACAGUAAGAGCUUGCUCUUACGGGUGGCGAGUGGCGGACGGGUGAGGAAUACAUCGGAAUCUACUUUUUCGUGGGGGAUAACGUAGGGAAACUUACGCUAAUACCGCAUACGACAUACGGGUGAAAGCAGGGGAUCUUCGGACCUUGCGCGAUUGAAUGAGCCGAUGUCGGAUUAGCUAGUUGGCGGGGUAAAGGCCCACCAAGGCGACGAUCCGUGGCUGGUCUGAGAGGAUGAUCAGCCACACUGGAACUGAGACACGGUCCAGACUCCUACGGGAGGCAGCAGUGGGGAAUAUUGGACAAUGGGCGCAAGCCUGAUCCAGCCAUACCGCGUGGGUGAAGAAGGCCUUCGGGUUGUAAAGCCCUUUUGUUGGGAAAGAAAAGCAGCAGGUUAAUACCCCGCUGUUCUGACGGUACCCAAAGAAUAAGCACCGGCUAACUUCGUG